rnacentral:SRP_RNA from 1 species
CUCGCGUGGUGUCACCUCGUCAAUCCCCCCAGGGCCGGAAGGCAGCAAGGGUCCACGAGCUCUGGCAGGUGCGCGGGGGGUCC